UACGUACGAGGCGAGCGUUAUCCGGAAUUAUUGGGCGUAAAGCGCGCGCAGGCGGGCCGUUAAGUUGGCUGUGAAAUCUCCCGGCCCAACUGGGAGGGGUCAGCCAAUACUGGCGGUUUUGAGGAUGGCAGAGGUAGGUGGAAUUCCUGGUGUAGUGGUGAAAUGCGUAGAGAUCAGGAGGAACACCGGUGGCGAAGGCGGCCUACUGGGCCAUCACUGACGCUGAGGCGCGAAAGCUCGGGGAGCGAACGGG
rnacentral:rRNA from 1 species